CAAGAGCAGGCUAGCCUGCUUGAUGAUGAAAGACACAUGAUCACGUCUCCCCUGUUGUCCAAGUCAACAGUUGGCCAACUGCUAAACGAUGAGUGAGGCUGUCCUAGACCAGCCAGACCCAGUGGACCCACCUGCAGACUAUAAACACAAGUGUGAGCCCUCCUGAGGUUCUCCAGGCCUGGCCAUAUCAGAAAUUUCCAGUGGAUCUAAAGACUUGGGGAAAACAGGAAUUUAAUGGAUGAACUUGAGACCAACCAGAGGUCUUUUUUCCUCUGCUGCAAAGACCAAUAACAUCAAAGACGGUGGCUGCUCUACCAAUCUGGAUCCCUGAGUGACAGCAAUUAGUAAAGUUCCUCUGCCAACUGAUGAUGAAUAAGCAAUAAAUAAACCUUUGUUAUUUUAAAACCCUGA